rnacentral:pre_miRNA from 1 species
UCUUCAUUCCACGUGCUCUCUCACCGGUCAGAAUGGCGAGAGAGUGUGCAAAAUGAAGAGA